rnacentral:rRNA from 1 species
CAGUAGCCACGGGAAUACGUAGGUGGCGAGCGUUGUCCGGAAUCAUUGGGCGUAAAGGGAGCGCAGGCGGGCAUGUAAGUCUUUCUUAAAAGUGCGGGGCUCAACCCCGUGAUGGGAAAGAAACUACAUGUCUUGAGUACAGGAGAGGAAAGCGGAAUUCCCAGUGUAGCGGUGAAAUGCGUAGAUAUUGGGAGGAACACCAGUGGCGAAGGCGGCUUUCUGGACUGCAACUGACGCUGAGGCUCGAAAGCCAGGGGAGCGAACGGGAUUAGAGACCCCUGUAGUCCCUGUCUCUUAUACA